rnacentral:rRNA from 1 species
AGAGUUUGAUCAUGGCUCAGAACGAACGCUGGCGGCAGGCCUAACACAUGCAAGUCGAACGAGAAGCCACCUUCGGGUGGUGGACAGUGGCAGACGGGUGAGUAACGCGUGGGAACGUGCCUUUCGGUUCGGAAUAACCCAGGGAAACUCGGGCUAAUACCGGAUACGCCCUUCGGGGGAAAGAUUUCAUUGCCGAAAGAUCGGCCCGCGUCGGAUUAGCUAGUUGGUGGGGUAAUGGCUCACCAAGGCGACGAUCCGUAGCUGGUCUGAGAGGAUGACCAGCCACACUGGGACUGAGACACGGCCCAGACUCCUACGGGAGGCAGCAGUGGGGAAUAUUGGACAAUGGGCGAAAGCCUGAUCCAGCCAUGCCGCGUGGGUGAAGAAGGCCUUAGGGUUGUAAACCCCUUUCAGCGGGGAAGAUAAUGACGGUACCCGCAGAAGAAGUCCGGCUAACUCCGUGCCAGCAGCCGCGGUA